rnacentral:lncRNA from 7 species
AAUGCAUGACUUUCUGUUAAACGGAGGAUUUUUGUGGUGAAAAUGCGUGGUGUUCAGGUUAAAGCAGGGAUUUUCGAUGAGAAAAUACAUGAUUUGGGGGUUAAAUGUGCUUGUUUGUUUGUUUGUUUGUUUGUUAGUUUGUUUGUUUGUUUGUUUUUAAGAGAAAACUUGUGAUUUUUGAUAAAUUAUGUAUUUUUGAAGUGAAAAUGCGUGAUUUUCAGGUUAGAUCAGGGAUUCUUGAAGAGAAAAUGCAUCAUUGUCGGGUUACAUGGGGGAUUUCCAAAGAGAAAUAGCCUUUUUUUCUGGUUAAAUGGGGGAUUUUUGAAGAGAAAAUGCCGUGAUUUUCAGAUUAAAUGGGGAUUCUUGAAGGGAAAAUGUGUGAUUUUCGGGGUAAUGGGGGAUUCUCGAAGAGAAAAUGGGUGAUUUUGGGUUUAAACUGCUAUUUUUGUAGAGAAUAUGCAUGAUUUUGGGUUUAAAGAGGGAUUCUCAAAGAGAAAAAGCGUUAUUUUUGUUUAAGUGGGGUAUUUUUGAAGGGAAAUGUGUGAUUUUCGGGUUAAAUGGGGGAUUCUCAAGAGAAAAUGCAUGAUUUUCGUUUACAUGUGAGAUUUUUGUAGAGGACAUGCGUGAUUUUUUGGAUACAUGGGGGAUUCUUGUAG